CAGCAGCCGCGGUAAUACGUAGGGUGCAAGCGUUAAUCGGAAUUACUGGGCGUAAAGCGUGCGCAGGCGGUUUGUUAAGACAGAUGUGAAAUCCCCGGGCUCAACCUGGGAACUGCAUUUGUGACUGGCAAGCUAGAGUCUGGCAGAGGGGGGUGGAAUUCCGCGUGUAGCAGUGAAAUGCGUAGAUAUGCGGAGGAACACCGAUGGCGAAGGCAGCCCCCUGGGCCAAUACUGACGCUCAUGCACGAAAGCGUGGGGAGCAAACAGGAUUAGAGACCCCUGUAGUCCCUGUCUCUUAUAC
rnacentral:rRNA from 1 species